GUUGGAAUUGGAAUCAAACUUUGGAAUAUUCUGGAACUUUCCAAACGUUGGUGUUCUGCUUCAGAGUUCAGUCAUGAACUCCAGCAUCUGAGGCUUGGUUAGCAGUUACUCUUGCUUGAAUGUGGUUGUGACUCUUAAUAGUUUAUGGUUUGGAAGCUUGGUCUAUGGUAUAGUGAUGCUGAGGUUAGAGGAGGUUUAGGAGAGGAAACGUAAAGUAAGAUAAUUAGGUCAUUGAAGUUAUUUCUCCUGAAAGGAAUGUUUAUUCUUUGGGAGGAAUACUGCUUACUUAAUUAAAGUGUUGUUACAAAAGAGAAUGACUGAUGCCUGCACUGCUUUGAUUUCUUGUCUUACCAGGUGUUUCUGUCAUUGUGACUCAUCUUCUGUGGGCUCCUUAUGAGAACUGAGAGUAGACUGCCUGCUUGAUGCUCCUGGAUUUUCAAAAGACCGGAGAUGAGAAUAUUGAUUGUUCACUGCCAUGUUUAUUCUGUCUGAAUCUGAGAAGUGCCACAGUUUAAAGUUCCCAUAAGUGAAUAUUUAUUGAAUAAAACCCACUGGAUGAUGAGGUUUCAUCUUGUUUGUGUUUAUGAAUAUUUCAAAUAAGAAAACCCUGAGAAU
rnacentral:lncRNA from 1 species